rnacentral:tRNA from 1 species
GAAAUAAUAUAAUUAAAAACUAAGCUUCUAACUUAAGUUUUAAGCGUUGAAAUACGUUUUUAUUUCU